rnacentral:rRNA from 1 species
CCCUGACCGUGCGAAGGUAGCAUAAUCACUUGUUCUCUAAAUAAGGACUUGUAUCAACGGCAUCACGAGGGUUAUACUGUCUCCUCUUUUUAAUCAGUGAAACUGACUUUCCCGUGAAGAGGCGGGAAUAGAAAUACAAGACGAGAAGACCCCAUGGAGCUUUAAACCCAGUAGUAACCUCUAUUUACUACUACUACUUAAUCAAGAAGGCCUACCUACUGGUUUUAGGUUGGGGUGACCCUGGAGUAAAACUAAGCCUCCAUGACGAAUAGAAUUAUUCUAAUCCCAGAGCCACUGCUCUACGAAUCAAAAUUUUGACGUAAACUGAUCCGCCUAGCGAUCAACGAACCAAGUUACCCUGGGGAUAACAGCGCAAUCCAUUUCAAGAGCCCCUAUCGACAAAUGGGUUUACGACCUCGAUGUUGGAUCAGGG